AUUCCACUUUUGUGGCCUUUUGCCAUUUUAUCACUGAUAUAUUCAGUGGAAUUAGCCAUUUCAGCCUCUUACUUCAAAAAGACGAGGUCAUCCUACCACAAGCAGUGUGCGGCCUUGACAAGCUGCUGAUGACAACAGAGGCAAUGCUUGCAAGGCCUAAGCCGGGCGGAAGACUAGCAGAGUUCUUGGCUGACCUGACACAGCAGAAGAGGCAGCGGCAGCAUACACAGGAAACAACAUACACAUUCCAGACAAUACCGCUCAAAGGUGAGGCAUCCGAGCUGA